AGAGAGAGAGAAGGAGAGAUGGGUGAGAGAGAGAAGGAGAGACGGAUGAGAGAGAGAAGGAGAGAGGGGGAGAGACAGAUGAGAGAGAUGAACAAUAGAAAUAUUGUUUAAACAAUAGUCAGGACUGAAGGAGUAGGACUCAUUCUGUAUAACCUCAGGAGCUGACGGAGAGGGAUGAGAGGAGAGAGAGAGGAAGGGGAGACGGGGAAUAGAGAGGGGAGAGAUUAUGUCUAGACACAUCCAGGUCUAGGAGAGAGAGGGGAGACAGGGAAUAGAGAGGGGAGAGAUCAUGUCUAGGAGAGGAAGGGGAGACAGGGAAUAGAGAGGGGAUAGAUUAUGUCUAGACACAGCCAGGUCUAGGAGAGGAAGGGGAGACAGGGAAUAGAGAGGGGAGAGAUCAUGUCUAGACACAUCCAGGUCUAGGAGAGGAAGGGGAGACAGGGAAUAGAGAGGGGAGAGAUCAUGUCUAGACACAUCCAGGUCUAGGAGAGGAAGGGGAGACAGGGAAUAGAGAGGGGAUAGAUUAUGUCUAGACACAGCCAGGUCUAGGAGAGAGAGGGAGACAGGGAAUAGAGAGGGGAGAGAUCAUGUCUAGACACAUCCAGGUCUAGGAGAGAGAGGGAGACAGGGAAUAGAGAGGGGAUAGAUUAUGUCUGGACACAUCCAGGUCUAGGAGAGAGGAAGGGGAGACAGGGAAUAGAGAGGGGAUAGAUUAUGUCUAGACACAUCCAGGUCUAGGAGAGAGAGGGAGACAGGGAAUAGAGAGGGGAUAGAUUAUGUCUAGACACAUCCAGGUCUAGGAGAGAGAGGGAGACAGGGAAUAGAGAGGGGAUAGAUUAUGUCUAGACACAGCCAGGUCUAGGAGAGAGAGGGAGACAGGGAAUAGAGAGGGGAUAGAUUAUGUCUAGACACAUCCAGGUCUAGGAGAGAGAGGGAGACAGGGAAUAGAGAGGGGAGAGAUCAUGUCUAGACACAUCCAGGUCUAGGAGAGAGAGGGAGACAGGGAAUAGAGAGGGGAGAGAUCAUGUCUAGACACAUCCAGGUCUAGGAGAGAGAGGGAGACAGGGAAUAGAGAGGGGAUAGAUUAUGUCUAGACACAUCCAGGUCUAGGAGAGAGAGGGAGACAGGGAAUAGAGAGGGGAGAGAUCAUGUCUAGACACAGCCAGGUCUAGGAGAGAGAGGGAGACAGGGAAUAGAGAGGGGAGAGAUCAUGUCUAGACACAGCCAGGUCUAGGAGAGAGAGGGAGACAGGGAAUAGAGAGGGGAGAGAUUAUGUCUAGACACAUCCAGGUCUAGGAGAGAGAGGGAGACAGGGAAUAGAGAGGGGAUAGAUUAUGUCUAGACACAUCCAGGUCUAGGAGAGAGAGGGAGACAGGGAAUAGAGAGGGGAGAGAUCAUGUCUAGACACAUCCAGGUCUAGGAGAGGAAGGGGAGACAGGGAAUAGAGAGGGGAGAGAUCAUGUCUAGACA